rnacentral:rRNA from 1 species
CUGAAUAGGGCGCAUAAGUAACAGGUCGUAGACCCGAAACCAGGUGAUCUACCCAUGUCCAGGAUGAAGGUAAGGUAAUACUUACUGGAGGUCCGAACCCACGCACGUUGAAAAGUGCGGGGAUGAGGUGUGGGUAGCGGAGAAAUUCCAAUCGAACUUGGAGAUAGCUGGUUCUCUCCGAAAUAGCUUUAGGGCUAGCCUCGAGGUAAAGAGUCAUGGAGGUAGAGCACUGUUUGGACUAGGGGCCCUUCUCGGGUUACCGAAUUCAGAUAAACUCCGAAUGCCAUGUACUUAUACUCGGGAGUCAGACUGCGAGUGAUAAGAUCCGUAGUCGAAAGGGAAACAGCCCAGACCACCAGUUAAGGUCCCCAAAUAUAUGUUAAGUGGAAAAGGAUGUGGGGUUGCUUAGACAACCAGGAUGUUGGCUUAGAAGCAGCCACCAUUGAAAGAGUGCGUAAUAGCUCACUGGUCGAGUGACCCCGCGCCGAAAAUGUACCGGGGCUAAACAUAUUACCGAAACUGUG